rnacentral:rRNA from 1 species
UUUACUUGAUGUUGAUAUUCCACGUGGAUAACUGUGGUAAUUCUAGAGCUAAUACAUGCACCAAAGCUCCGAUCUCAUGACGAGCGCAUCUAUUAGACCAAAAACCAAUCGAGAAUAUUCGCCUCAAAACGAAUGCCUCGUAAAUUUGGUGACUCUGAAUAGCUUAGCUGAUCGCAUGGUCUCGCACCGGCGACGUAUCUAUCAAGUGUCUGCCUUAUCAACUUUCGAUGGUAGUUUAUAUGCCUACCAUGGUUGUAACGGGUAACGGAGAAUAAGGGUUCGACUCCGGAGAGGGAGCCUGAGAAACGGCUACCACAUCCAAGGAAGGCAGCAGGCGCGCAAAUUACCCACUCUCAGCACGAGGAGGUAGUGACGAAAAAUAACGAGACCGUUCUCUUCGAGGCCGGUUAUCGGAAUGAGUACAACUUAAAGCCGUUAACAAGGAUCUAUGAGAGGGCAAGUCUGGUGCCAGCAGCCGCGGUAAUUCCAGCUCUCAAAGUGUAUAUCGUCAUUGCUGCGGUUAAAAAGCUCGUAGUUGGAUUUAAGCUCGAUGACUCGGUCCAUCCAUAGGAUGAGAACUGAGCUCAUCGGCUAAUCAUCGGCUGGUUUUGUCUAGGUGGCUUUAAACGGUCGCCUAGGCUGGCUAGCAAGUUUACUUUGAAAAAAUUAGAGUGCUCAACGCGGGCUUAAUGCCUGAAUAGUCGUGCAUGGAAUAAUGGAAUAGGAUUUCGGUUCUAUUUUGUUGGUUUUUUUAACCGAAAUAAUGGUUAAGAGGGACAGACGGGGGCAUUCGUAUCGCUACGUGAGAGGUGAAAUUCUUGGACCGUAGCGAGACGCCCGACUGCGAAAGCAUUUG